CUCAAAGGACAAGUUCAAAACUGAGGAUUCUUUUGGUUUGCACUAGGAUAAAAAGAGAAAAAAAAAACAUGAGCUUUUUGUCUGUUUUUAGGUGGCCCAAAUUGAAAUAGGGUAUGCAUUC
rnacentral:snoRNA from 1 species